AAGGGAGACCUAAUUCCGGUAGGAGACGAAAAAAAAGUGGUCCCAACCAAGAAUCAAUCCCAAAAGGUCGGAACGAGGUAUGAGGCUUUCAAACUAGGUUCUGGGUUCAUAAAAGACCUGAAUCAGGAACAAGGGCUAUUAGCUCAGGUGGUUAGAGCGCACCCCUGAUAAGGGUGAGGUCCCUGGUUCGAGUCCAGGAUGGCCCACCUGCACAGGUGGCAAAAACAAGAGAAGCUCCGAAUCAGCACCUUAUCUUAUAUACAUAUAUAAGAGAGAAUGCUGGCUCUGAGUACAGAGUCCAGAGGAACCUUGAAAACUGCAUAGAGCUAGGUGAAAAAGCCAAAAAAGAAGACCGCAA
rnacentral:tRNA from 1 species